rnacentral:rRNA from 1 species
CCGCUGAACUUAAGCAUAUCAGUAAGCGGAGGAAAAGAAACUAACAAGGAUUGCCCCAGUAGCGGCGAGUGAACAGGCAAAAGCUCAAAGUGAAAAUCCGUAGCAAAAAGUUAUGGAAUUGUAAUCUAGAGAUGCUUUCAGAGGGAAUGUCCGUAGCAUAAGUUCCUUGGAAAAGGACAUCAAAGAGGGUGAAAAUCCCGUAGUUGGCUAUGGGCGGAACUAAUGAAGGUAAUCGAAGAGUCGGGUUGUUUGGGAUUGCAGCCCUAAAUGGGAGAUAAACUCUUCUAAAGCUAAAUAACUAUGGGAAACCGAUAGCGAACAAGUACUGCGAAGGAAAG